rnacentral:piRNA from 1 species
UAGUCAGUGAUUGUGACAGAGACAGGACUA